AAAGUUGCCAAUUAACUUCAGAAAUGGAAAAUAAUGGUUAAUUGAGAUUCUUUUAAUUUUUAUUUAUAAUGUUUAUUCUUUUUUAAAAUAAGUGUUUAUUCUUUAAGAAGGUACAGAAUAAGGAAAAAUCUAAAUAUUUGUAAUGAUAACAUAUUUUGAAUAAUAUAGGCCUAUGUCUGCCUGCCAACUCUCUAACAGCAUUAACUUGAAAUAUUCCUUCUUCAGGCAGACUGAAUAUUUUCCUGCCUUGCUAAAUGUUGGGUCAGUUAGCACCAGUCGCUGUAAAGCGGGAGCAGCUGACGGAGGAAUUCCGCUUGGUCUUAAAGCCUUCCACAAGCGCCUAUGUUCACAAAUUACAAUGUUCUUCAUAAAAAUAAAGAUUAAUUAUCAAUUGAUAAUUUACUAAUAUUUUGGUCUAGUGAUAAUAAUUGUAUGUGCUGUGAGAAAAUAACGAAUACAAAGAGUAGGGCUGCUGUGAGUGCAGGCAUGUUUCAGCAACAGAAUCAGAAUGAGCUUUAUUGGCAGGUAUGUUCACACAUACAAGGAAUUUGUUUUCGUGACAGAAGCUCCGCAGUGCAACAUAAUGAUAGUGACAGAACAAAAAACACAAUAAAAGAAUAAAAAAUCCAAAAAAGUAGGUAAGGAAUGACAAUGUAUGGCAGGUAUAUUACAAUGAGCAGUUAUAUGGAAUAAAAUCACUUUCAAAAAUAAUUGUAUGUAAUUCAAAACAUUUGUGUGUAAUUUUAAUAUACUCGUGCAUAAUUUAAAACUAUUGUACGUAAUUCUGUUUUUUGUCAGAGUUGGAUUCCAAAAUCUACGGCCACGACAGUUUACAGAUACGCAAUUCUGUGUGUUUUUUAGAGUACAACUCUAAAAUGUACGACUGUGACAGUUUACAGACAUGGCGCUUGUUUUCACAAUAGCUCUGUUACACACACGACAUGCGAAUUACGACCACGAAGUGCGGUGUGCGAAACGACUGUCAAAAAUACGUCAUCAAGGUCACAGGCAUUAUUAUCCAAGGGAAGAUGAAUCGAUUCAACGAAGUGCGCAUGCGCCCCACCAAAGUUUUAAACCACUGGCGCCGAAAUGGCGGAUCAGCAGCCAAGCGCUCACUCCUCGUCUCAGGUAAGUUACUUUUUUUUUUUUUUUAUCUGACAUGUUUAAACAGGGGUCAUCAAACCUGUUCCUGGCGGUCAUGAGGUCGGAGCUAAACUCUGAAGGACACGGGCCCUCCAGGACCGAACUUGACGACCCCUGUGUUUAAGGGUUAACAUUAGUUAUAACUAAUAACAGAGAAUAGCAGUAUUACAGAGAUAGUGUAGUAGGUAAGAUAAGCUCUCAGAGUACAUGUAACGUUAGGUGCUUAAAGAAGACAGUUGUUUAGAACAUGAGACAAUAGUAAGGAGAAUGCAGAAGACAAAAGGUAGGCAAAAUAAAAAGUAAAUCCCCAGUAACAGUCCCACGGACCCAACCCCAAACCCCAUCUCUGGAUUAGUAAUUAAUAAAGGCUAGUUUCUAAAGUACUUAUUCCUGCCUCUCUGUAUUAAUGCUCAUGGGUAGCCUAUAGCCCCUUUCACACUGCACGUCGGACCCAGCAUAUUGCCGCAAUAUUGCCGGGUCGCCUUCUGUGUGAAAGCAACCAAGUCCCGGGAUUGAUCCCGCAUUGAACCUGGGUCGGGGACCUAGUAAUAUUGCCGGGUUCGACCUGAGACGAGCGCUGUGUGAACAAAAGCCAGAUCUAAUGCCAUGUUGAAGUGAUGAUGCGACUCUUUUACCGGCUGUUUUGAAGGAAGAUCAACGUUCGAGACAAAAAAAUAUGUGCAAACUGUAAUGAAGCAGAGAUCAGUUAGUCCCUCACUUUCCGUGCUGAAGCUGUGAUCGUUCACUUGCUUCGUGAAAGUAUAACGUGCCUAGCGUUUUCGACUCGUACAUUAUACGUCACGCGCUGAUGUCACGUGUCAUUACGGGAUCUUUACUGGUUGUGUGUGAAAGCACUCACAUAUCCCGGGUAAUCACUGGAAGUGUGAACGUAUAAAAUCUAGUGUCCCGGGAACAAUUGCCGGAACACUUUUCCCAUGUAUUUGCAGGAAUGGCAGUGUGAAAGGGACUUAAAUGGGUUCCAUUCAGACCUUAAUAUUAAGUAUUUUACUGUUAUCAACAAGAUUGAACAAGACAUUUUCACCUGGCUAUACCCAAUGUGUAGAUCUGUUGUGGUAUUUAUGCAAAUUAGCACAUACGUAAUUAGAUUAUACACCGUUUGUCCAUGUUAACAAACAAUUAAAAAAAAGUUUAAUACAUUUUUUGUUUGUCUUGAUGUAAGUAAUCAACUCAUUUUCAUGGUGAUAUCUAAAGGUUAAAAAUGUUACCCUAUUCACGUGAGAAAAAGAAUGAAUAGGCUAUAUUUGGGUCUUUUUCGAAACUUUCCCCUAAUGGGAUUUUUCUAGGCUUUUUUUUUUCCUUACUCAAGAAAUAUUGAUACAAAAUCAGUUUGCUUCUGUUGCAAUUUGUUCAAGGUUGACCCCCAUUUUGGCUUAAAAUGACUGGACUAUAAUAAAAGAUAGAAUUUUGUCUUAAGUAAUAUUAAUGUCAGAGUAAUUUGACUUACAGGGACCGCUGCUGACGCACCUACUAGAACGCCUCAGGUCACGAAUAAGUGCAUUUUUAGACGGACAUCAGCUGGACUUGGACUAUUUUCAGUAUGUUAUCAAUUAAGAAGUGUUUAUUUUGUCAUCAGCCUCCACUAUCUUUGAUGUGCCAAAUUAUAUUUUGGAGACCCUCAUGGAUUUACAACAAAAAAUUAAUGUAGCUCUUUCCCAAGAGGUGGCCCCAGUUCUUACAAGGGAAUGUGGUGGUGGACGAGGUCGACCUAAGUUUAUUGUUUCCGAGGAAAUGCUGUCCCCUCUCAUAGAGAUGUCUUUACCAGUUUCUUGUAUUGCAAACAUUUUAGGAGUAAGCCAGUCAACUAUCUUUCGCCAAAUGCGUGACUUGGGUUUGUCUGUAAAAACUACGUAUAGCACCAUAUCUGACAAUGAAUUGGAUAAUGCCAUUUUGGCCAUCAAAAGAAGACUCCCAAAUGCUGGAUAUAGGAUGAUAUAUCUGAUAAAGGCUGCCUGCAAGCAGACGGACAAAGAGAGCAAUGGAACCACAUAAAAGAAUCCAUGCACAGAGUGGAUGCCCCCGGAAUAUUGGAAAGGAUAACACAGCUGGGGUGUAUUGUCAAGAAGUCAUAUUUUGUUCAAAGUCCACUGUCCUUAGUCCAUAUUGACACGAAUCACAAGCUCAUAAGGCAUGUUCUUAUAUUUUACCUACGGAAGUGUAAUGUUAUGCAAUAUUACGUUUAACAUGGUUUUACUUUGAAGGUACAACAACAUCAUAUUUGGUGGGAUAGACGGCUUCUCACGAAAGAUCAUGUACCUGGAACCAGCAACAAACAACUGUUCAAGCACUGCCUUAUCAUUCUUUCUCCAGUCUGUGCAAAAACAUGGCUGGCCUUCGGGGGUCCGGGGUGAUGAAGGUGUGGAAAAUGUGGCAGUUGCAGACACCAUGUUUCGUGUGAAAGGGACUAGAAGAAAAGCUUCAUUACUGGGAAAAGCUUACAUAAUCAGAGAAUUGAACGCCUGUGGUGAAACGUCUGGGUCAGCGUAACACAGCUGUAUUACGACAUACUUCACAGCCUUGAGGAAGAUGGCUUGUUGGACUUGUCAGAUUCCCUUUAUGUGUUUUGUGCACAUUAUGUCUUCCUCCCAUGUCUGAAGCGUGACCUCCACAGUUUUUCUGAAGGCUGGGACAAUCAUCCAUUACGGUCUGAAAAUGGGCUUACCCCUAACCAGAUGUGGAUAAUGGGACACAUGCACACCUCAUCUGGAGACAAUGAAGAGAGUUUUCAGACGUCAUUACCAACAUACUCUGCAUAAGGGACUUUCCAUGCCAUGGUAACCUAAUUUCACAGUGGAGCACAUGGAUUUCAAGCUGCAAGACUGAUGCCUUGAUGUCCAGAAAAGUGUGACAUGGCUCCAAAAGCAGUUGCCCAGAGGUCCAAAUCUUACAGAAAAUGUUUAAAAGAUGAUCCUGAGAAAUAUGCACAGUAUCUGCAGAGUGAGAAAGAGAGAUAUCGUAGAAGAAGAGAAACAGGAAAAUUUUAAUCUUGUUUCCCAAUUGAGCGAUGGAAAGUUAAUCAACAAAGGAAGAGAGCUAAGGACAGAGAAAAAAGAGAAAUAGAAAAUUAUCUUUCAAUGAGUAGUCCUCCCGAAUCUCCUGAUAUCCGUACACAAAAGAAUCAGAAUAGGGAUGUGCCAAAUGCAAGGAAUGAAAGAGUCGGUACGGCGGAUUCAGUCCAAACCCCAAAGCAAUGAGAACGCAAAAAAGUCAAUAGAAACAGAAGCUCUACUAUGAUCUCCAAAAGUCAAAAAAAAUAAAAAAGCCGGAAAAUGCCUUGCAAAAGGUUGAUAAGUAUAGGAAAAGGUUAGAUAGGCUGACUAAGAAGCAUACCACUGAGCAGUCACCAAGAACUAAAGGAAGAAAACAGAUAAGGGGAGGACAUGGAAAAUCAGGAAGACUCUUGUGUUUCAUAACACAUUAGUCUCAUAGCUGCGACAAACCUACCAUAAAAAGAAAAUUAAAGGAAAACAAAUCAUAAAAAAAGACACCAUAACUAGACAGAAAUUCAAAAAGCAGAAGCGUUACCUCAAUGUCUCCCUUUUCAGACUGUAUCACAGUUUCAAGGAGGAAUAUCCUCAGGUGAAAAUCUCAUACAGUAAAUUCUGUGAGAACCGUCCUUUCUGGAUCUUCAAACCCUCCAUUCAAGACAGGGAUACCUGUUUAUGCAAGACCCAUGCAAACAUCCAACUCAUGGCUGAUAAGUUGCUUUAUCUUAAACAGAAUUGAAAACCUAAUGCACUACCUAUGUUGUGAAAGUCCAACUAAAGCCUGCAUGUAUAGAGAGUGUGUCCGUUGCCAAGACAAAGAAGUACAAACUGCUGCAUUUCAACCUGGUGAGCAAACACAGUGGAUGGAAUGGUGAAAACAAAACUGAAAUCAGAGAGAAAAAGAAAGGUGGUGAUAAG